GACGUACGCUGGCGGCGUGCUUAACACAUGCAAGUCGAACGGAAAGGCCCUGCUUUUGUGGGGUGCUCGAGUGGCGAACGGGUGAGUAACACGUGAGUAACCUGCCCUUGACUUUGGGAUAACUUCAGGAAACUGGGGCUAAUACCGGAUAGGAGCUCCUGCUGCAUGGUGGGGGUUGGAAAGUUUCGGCGGUUGGGGAUGGACUCGCGGCUUAUCAGCUUGUUGGUGGGGUAGUGGCUUACCAAGGCUUUGACGGGUAGCCGGCCUGAGAGGGUGACCGGCCACAUUGGGACGGAGAUACGGCCCAGACUCCUACGGGAGGCAGCAGUGGGGAAUAUUGAGCAAUGGGCGGAAGCCUGAGGCAGCAACGCCGCGUGCGGGAUGACGGCCUUCGGGUUGUAAACCGCUUUCGCCUGUGACGAAGCGUGAGUGACGGUAAUGGGUAAAGAAGCACAGGCUGGCUACGUG
rnacentral:rRNA from 1 species